GAAUUUUUCACAAUGGGCGCAAGCCUGAUGGAGCGACGCCGCGUGGGGGAUGAAGGGUUUCGAUCCGUAAACCCCUGUCAUUUGCGAACAAACCCUGAGUGUGAAUAGCAAUCAAGCUGAUUGUAGUGAAAGAGGAAGGGACGGCUAACUCUGUGCCAGCAGCCGCGGUAAUACAGAGGUCCCAAGCGUUGUUCGGAUUCACUGGGCGUAAAGGGUGCGUAGGUGGCCGUGGAAGUUCGGUGUGAAAGCUCGGAGCUCAACUCCGAAAAGGCAUUGAAUACUCUACGGCUUGAGGGUCGGAGGGGAGACUGGAAUUCUCGGUGUAGCAGUGAGAUGCGUAGAUAUCGAGAGGAACACCAGUGGCGAAGGCGAGUCUCUGGACGACACCUGACACUGAGGCACGAAAGCUAGGGGAGCAAACAGG
rnacentral:rRNA from 1 species